UAUAUAUAUAUACACCAUUGAACUUGAUGGGAUACACGAAACUAAUUUCAACGAUCCAACCGUUAAACUUGUUUGUAUAUGCUUAAGGAUCUGAUCAGCAACAAAUCACAAAAAAAAAAAAAAAACACUCAGAGAUAAAGUAACGAGACAAAACUUUUCGACGGUUAUAAAACAAAAAAUCACGAUUUAACAGUUAUUUUAACUCCGAUUUUGAUUAUUUUUUACAGCUACACUCGUUGACCCUAUAUGAAUACAACGAAUAAAUUUGAUUUUCAAUUUAAAAUAUUUACACUAGUGGAUACCACAAAAUCUUAUGUUAUACUUAAUGAAAGUAUAAAUAAACUCUUAAGUGUUAGUGAAUCCAUCGUUUUGAUGGGAUACGAAUUCUAUGAAACUAAUUUCAACGAUCUAAGCGUCAAACUUGUUUGUAUAUGCUUCGAGAUCGCAUACGCCAAAAAUCACAAAAAACAAACAUUCAGAGAUCAAGUAAUCAGACAAAACUUUUCGACGGUUAUAAAACAACAAAUCAUGAUUUAACGGUUAUUUUAACUCCGAUUUUGAUGAUUUUUUUCAACUACACUCCUUGACCCUAUACGAAUACAAUGAAUGAAUUUGAUCGUCUUUAAAAUAUUUACACAAGUUGAUACCACAAAAUCUUAUGUUAUACUUAAUGAAAGUAUAAAUAAACUCUGAGUGUUAGUGAAUCUAUUAAUUUGAUGGAAUACGAAUUCUAUGAAACUAAUUUUAACGAUCUAACCGUCAAACUUGUAUAUGUUUCGAGAUCGCAUACGCCAAAAAUCACAAAAAGCAAACAUUCAGAGAUCAAGUAAUGAGACAAAAAAUUUCGACGGUUAUAAAACAAAAAAUCACGAUUUAACGGUUAUUUUAACUUCGAUUUUGAUGAUUUUUUACAACUACACUCCUUGACCCUACGCGAAUACAAUGAAUGAAUUUGAUCGUCAAUUUAAAAUUACACAAGUGGAUACCACAAAAUCUUAUGUUAUACUUAAUGAAAGUAUAAAUAAACUAUGAGUGUUAGUGAAUCUAUUAAUUUGAUGGAAUAUGAAUUCUAUGAAACUAAUUUUAACGAUCCAACCAUCACACUUGUAUAUGUUUUGAGAUCGCACACGCCAAAAAUCACAAAAAGCAAACAUUCAGAGAUCAAGUAAUGAGACAAACUUUUCGACGGUUAUAAAACAAAAAAUCACGAUUUAACGGUUAUUUUAACUCCGAUUUUGAUAAUUUUUUACAACUACACUCCUUGACCUUAUACGAAUACAAUGAAUGAAUUUGAUCGUCAAUUUAAAAUAUUUACAUAAGUGGAUACCACAAAAUCUUAUGUUAUACUUAAUGAAAGUAUAAAUAAGCUCUAAGUGUAAGUGAAUCUAUUGUUUUGAUGGGAUACGAAUUCUAUGAAACUAAUUUUAACGAUCCAACCGUCAAACUUGUUUGUGUAUGCUUCGAGAUCGCAUACACUAAAAAUCACAAAAAACAAACAUUCAGAGAUCAAGUAAUGGGAUAAAACUUUUCGACGGUUAUAAAAUAAAAAAUCAUGAUUUAACGGUUAUUUUAACUCCGAUUUUGAUGAUUUUUACAAAUACACUCCUUGACACUAUACGAAUACAAUGAAUGAAUUUGAUCGUCAAUUUAAAAUAUUUACACAAGUUGAUACCACAAAAUCUUAUGUUAUACUUAAUGAAAGUAUAAAUAAACUCUAAGUGUUAGUGAAUCUAUUGUUUUGAUGGAAUACGAAUUCUAUGAAACUAAUUUUAACGAUCCUACCGUCAAACUUGUUUGUAUAUACUUCGAGAUCGUAUACGCCAAAAAUCACAAAAAACAAACAUUUAGAGAUCAAGUAAUGAGACAAAACGUUUCGACGGUUGUAAAACAAAAAAUCACGAUUUAACGGUUAUUUUAACUCCGAUUUUGAUGAUUUUUUACAACUACACUCCUUGACCCUAUACGAAUACAGUGAAUGAAUUUGAUCAUCAAUUUAAAAUAUUUACACAAGUGGAUACCAUAAAAUCUUAUGUUAUACUUAAUGAAAGUAUAAAUAAAUUGUAAGUGUUAGUGAAUCUGUUCUUUUUAUGGGAUACGAAUUCUAUGAAACUAAUUUUAACGAUCCAACCGUCAAACUUGUUUGUGUAUACUUCGAGAUCGUAUACGCCAAAAAUCACAAAAAAACAAACAUUCAGAGAUCAAAUAAUGAGACAAAACUUUUCGACGGUUAUAAAACAAAAAAUCACGAUUUAACGGUUAUUUUAACUCCGAUUUUGAUGAUUUUUUACAACUACACUCCUUGAUCCUAUGCGAAUCCAAUGAAUGAAUUUGAUCGUCAAUUUAAAAUUACAGAAGUGGAUACCACAAAAUCUUAUGUUAUACUUAAUGAAAGUAUAAAUAAACUCUAAGUGUUAGUGAAUCUAUUGUUUUGAUGGGAUACGAAUUCUAUGAAACUAAUUUUAACGAUCCAACCGUCAAACUUAUUUGUAUAUACUUCGAGAUCGUAGACGCCAAAAAAAAAAAAAAAACAUUCAGAGAUCAAGUAAUGAGACAAAACUU
rnacentral:lncRNA from 1 species